GACGAACGCUGGCGGCGUGCUUAACACAUGCAAGUCGAACGAUGAAGCCUAGCUUGCUAGGUGGAUUAGUGGCGAACGGGUGAGUAAUACGUGAGUAACCUACCUUUAACUCUGGGAUAAGCCUGGGAAACUGGGUCUAAUACCGGAUACGACCAAUCUCCGCAUGGGGUGUUGGUGGAAAGCGUUAUGUAGUGGUUAUAGAUGGGCUCACGGCCUAUCAGCUUGUUGGUGAGGUAACGGCUCACCAAGGCGACGACGGGUAGCCGGCCUGAGAGGGUGACCGGCCACGCUGGGACUGAGACACGGCCCAGACUCCUACGGGAGGCAACAGUGGGGAAUAGUGCACAAUGGGCGCAAGCCUGAUGCAGCGACGCCGCGUGGGGGAUGACGGCCUUCGGGUUGUAAACCUCUGUUAGCAGGGAAGAAGAGAAAUUGACGGUACCUGCAGAGAAAGCGCCGGCUAACUACGUG
rnacentral:rRNA from 1 species